GUAGGGAAACUUACAAAGGCUGUGGAGCCAUGACAAAAUACGGUGGUAUCAUUACGGAUCCCAAUUUGCUUUCUCAUUACAGUAGGCCAUUCUGAUUUUCUUCAACUGCGACGUGAAAGCUCAUGUGCUGUAGGCAAAGCCUAUAAGAUGGCUCACUCUGGCUAUUGUGUUUGCCUUUUAUGACAGUUUUAUAAGUUAUGAAAAUGUAUCCAUCCAAAAUGGAUUUUAAAAACUGUGUUGUGAUUGAAAUGUAAUCUAUACACGAUAACAUUUACCUAAGCAUGCUAUUUGGUGAGUUUUGACACGUGUAGACCUUUGUGUAAUUACCACUACAGUAAUGUUCAGAAUGUUUCGAUCUACCCAGAAGUUUCCUCUUGCCCCUUUGGAGUCAGUCUCCUUCCUGACCUCUCACCCCCACCUCCAGAUAGCCAAUGGCCUGAUUUCAGUUAUUCUGACUUUACUAGUUUCUAGUAUUUUAUAUGAGUGUAACCAUAGAGUGCAGCCUUUUGAGUCUGGCCUCUUUCAGUUCUUCUACACUGUUGGCGUGUUUCAGCAAUCUGUUCCUUUGAAUUGUUGGGUAGUAUCUUCUUGUAGGAAUGUCAUCACAAUCUAUUUACCAGUUUGCAGGUUGAUGGAUAUUUGGGCUACUUCCGAUUCAGGGUUGUGAUGAAUAAGGCUGUUCUGAAUAUUAAAGUAUAAGUCUUCGUGGAGACAUAUUUUCAUUUCUUUUGGUGGUCUUCCCCUCUGUUGUCAAAUAGGGAAAUAAAUAAAGUCAGAUCCCUCUGACUGAUCAUCCAGCCAAGGAGGGAGGAGGUGGCUCUUGGCCUGAGGAAGAUGCAGGAACAAGAAGAAUUCUAUAUGUUUCAAAAUGUGACAAUAGAGGAAAGAGCAGGCAACCACACAGGUGCUGUCUCUUGCACAGGCACUCGACAGGCACCCUGAGCUCCAGGUAGUAGUUCAGUAUUUGUGUGACUGUGUGACAUGGUCACGUUUGAGGUCAGUGAAAGCAGGCUCACAUCAGUUACAAAAUAUGCAUGCUAAGUCACUUCAGUCAUGUCUGAUUCUGUGCGACCCUAUGGACUGUAGCCCUCCAGGUUCCUCUAUCCAUGGGAUUCUCCAGGCAAGAAUACUUGAGUGGGUUGCCAUUUCCUCCUGCAGGGGAUCUUCCCAACCUGAGAAUCGAACCCUUGUCUCUUAUGUCUCCUGCGUUGGCAGGUCGCCAUUGAAAUACAUCAGAUUUAAAAUCUGCAAGGUCUUCAGGCCAAACUCACAGGAAAGUCAGGAAAACUAGAAGCUGUGAAGGACACGGAUCUGCUGAAUAUAUUAACCUCGCAUAUGUGUGUGGAUAUGUGUUUUCUAAUCCUCUAAGGCUAAAAGAAUGACCAGGCAAAAUGAGUGACCCUUUUGACAUAAAAGUCAAGAAUUAUCCUGAGGAGACAAGUGCUGUUCAGAGCAUUUUAAGCCCUUCGUCUUUCACCACAGACACCAGCAGACCUGACGGGACGCUGCAGAGGCAGCAGCUGCAGUGAGCAGGCAUGAUGAAAGCACCAGGCCGUGAAGCCCCAUUAGGAAAAGAUGCAUAAUGAAGAAUCAGGCCACCCGGACUCUGCACCCAACGAAGCCACCUGAACCUGUAAGAAGCUACCUUCCAAAAGAGUCAUUUUGCCUGCACGGUCUCCCAGGACAGCUCAGGCUGGCAUCAGUCCUUGGAGAAGGCAGGAAUAUCUUCACCAACUGAGCUAUGAGGGAAGUCCCAAGGAAGAGGAGAGGAGAUGAAAGAGGAAAAGUAUGUCAGAGCGAAGGAGAAAUUGUCUGGCAGGAUUUGACUCUGCUACAGAGAAGAAAGUAAAAACCGUAUCAUGGAGAAAAGCAUGAAGCUUAGAUUUAAACAGAGCUGGACCUAACUC
ensembl:lncRNA